UAUUCUGCCCAUGCGGGAAGGAUGAGAAGCUUCGACUAAGGUUCGGCUCGAGCGUCAGCGAGAGAGCGUUGCCGCAGGCAACGACCCGAAGAGCGAAGCGCGCAGCGCUGAGUAAUCCUUCCCCCACCACCA
rnacentral:sRNA from 1 species